rnacentral:lncRNA from 1 species
UGCUUCUAAUUUCAGUUACAGUUAUCCUCACAGUUAUCCUCGUUAAAUCUUGAUCUCUGCGAUAGUACAAUGCAUAACGUAUAUAUAUUUCUGCUAAAAAAAUUAUGUUACUGCUAACGUAGCACUUCUAUAAUGGAUGAUUUUUUUCAAUUAUCAGCCGAAAGUUUGCGAUGAACCUCGACUGUGUCAGGGCCUAAAUGACAGGACUAGCGUGCUUGUGCGUGUGUUUUGAACUUAUGACUUUGAAUAUUAACUAUAAAGUUCUUAAUUAACUGCACUAGAUAUAAUCAGUAUAAUUCGUUGAAAAGUUAGAG